rnacentral:rRNA from 1 species
UACGUAGGGUGCGAGCGUUAAUCGGAAUUACUGGGCGUAAAGCGUGCGCAGGCGGUUCGUUGUGUCGGCGGUGAAAGCCCCGGGCUUAACCUGGGAAUGGCCGUUGAAACUGGCGAACUGGAGUGUGGCAGAGGGGGGGUGGAAUUCCGCGUGUAGCAGUGAAAUGCGUAGAGAUGCGGAGGAACACCGAUGGCGAAGGCAGCCCCCUGGGCUGACACUGACGCCUCAGGCACGAAAGCGUGGGGAGCAAACAGG